rnacentral:rRNA from 1 species
AGUGAGGAAUAUUGCACAAUGGGGGAAACCCUGAUGCAGCAACGCCGCGUGGAGGAUGACGCAUUUCGGUGUGUAAACUCCUUUUAUAUGUCAAGAAAAUGACGGUAGCAUAUGAAUAAGCACCGGCUAACUCCGUGCCAGCAGCCGCGGUAAUACGGAGGGUGCAAGCGUUACUCGGAAUCACUGGGCGUAAAGGACGCGUAGGCGGGUUGGAAAGUCAGAUGUGAAAUCCUACAGCUUAACUGUAGAACUGCAUUUGAAACUUCUAAUCUAGAGUAUGGGAGGGGGAGAUGGAAUUAGUGGUGUAGGGGUAAAAUCCGUAGAUAUCACUAGGAAUACCGAAAGCGAAGGCGAUCUCCUGGAACAUAACUGACGCUAAGGCGUGAAAGCGUGGGGAGCAAACAGGAUUAGAUACCCUGGUAGUCCACGCCCUAAACGAUGAACACUAGUCGUCGGGAUGCUAGUCAUCUCGGUGAUGCACUUAACAGAUUAAGUGUUCCGCCUGGGGAGUACGGUCGCAAGAUUAAAACUCAAAGGAAUAGACGGGGACCCGCACAAGUGGUGGAGCAUGUGGUUUAAUUCGAAGAUACGCGAAGAACCUUACCUAGCCUUGACAUUGAUUGAACACACUAGAGAUAGAGUGGUGCCCUUCGGGGAACAUGAAAACAGGUGCUGCACGGCUGUCGUCAGCUCGUGUCGUGAGAUGUUGGGUUAAGUCCCGCAACGAGCGCAACCCUCGUCCUUAGUUGCUAGCAGUUCGGCUGAGCACUCUAAGGAGACUGCCUUCGUAAGGAGGAGGAAGGUGAGGACGACGUCAAGUCAUCAUGGCCCUUAUGGCUAGGGCUACACACGUGCUACAAUGGGGCGUACAGAGUGUUGCGAUACCGCGAGGUGGAGCUAAUCACUUAAAGCGUCUCUCAGUUCGGAUUGGAGUCUGCAACUCGACUCCAUGAAGCUGGAAUCACUAGUAAUCGUAGAUCAGCAAUGCUACGGUGAAUACGU